GUUUUAAAGACAGACACGAUUGAACGCUAGGUUAUGUAGCCAAGCGCAUUUUUUAGCGAUCCGUCGGAUUUGGCAGUUUUACAUAAAAGGACAAAAAAUUGUUCGGCAUCGUCAAACGAUAAGGUAGCGGCAUAUCAGACUAUACAUAAUGUGGCACACACCUGUUUCAACGGAGGCUGCUGUUUGACUUCGGUACGUUGACGUAAUCGGGUUACAACAGGGUCGCUGAAAACUUCAUGUUUCUGACUUUUCUUUUUGAGUAGAGAACAAAUGGCAUCAUGGAUUCUCUAUGAAGGCAUUGCCGAAUGAUAAUGUUUGAUUGUUUCGCUUAAAUCAUUUAUAGAGAUAUGGAUUGAGUAUAAGUUGAUUAAAUUAUCUCUAUUAUUCACUAUUUUAUUAUUGUACGUAGUUUCAUUAUAGUACUGUAUAAUUUUCUUCACGUUUAUAUUUUAAUUAAUAAGAGAUGAAAUUUUUUUUUAAAAA